rnacentral:rRNA from 1 species
AUUGAACGCUGGCGGCAGGCCUAACACAUGCAAGUCGAGCGGUAGAGAGGUGCUUGCACCUCUUGAGAGCGGCGGACGGGUGAGUAAUGCCUAGGAAUCUGCCUGGUAGUGGGGGAUAACGCUCGGAAACGGACGCUAAUACCGCAUACGUCCUACGGGAGAAAGCAGGGGGCCUUCGGGCCUUGCGCUAUCAGAUGAGC